AGAGUUUGAUCCUGGCUCAGAACGAACGCUGGCGGCAGGCUUAACACAUGCAAGUCGAACGCUCGUAGCAAUACGGGAGUGGCAGACGGGUGAGUAACGCGUGGGAACAUACCCUCCGGUUCGGAAUAGCUCAGGGAAACUUGGAUUAAUACCGGAUACGGCCGAGAGGCGAAAGAUUUAUCGCCGGAGGAUUGGCCCGCGUUCGAUUAGCUAGUUGGUGAGGUAAUGGCUCACCAAGGCUAUGAUCGAUAGCUGGUCUGAGAGGAUGAUCAGCCACAUUGGGACUGAGACACGGCCCAAACUCCUACGGGAGGCAGCAGUGGGGAAUAUUGGACAAUGGGCGCAAGCCUGAUCCAGCCAUGCCGCGUGAGUGAUGACGGCCUUAGGGUUGUAAAGCUCUUC
rnacentral:rRNA from 1 species